rnacentral:rRNA from 1 species
GAGGAAAGAGGGAGGCGUGCCUAAUACAUGCAAGUCGAGCGAACAGAUGAGGAGCUUGCUCCUCUGACGUUAGCGGCGGACGGGUGAGUAACACGUGGAUAACCUACCUAUAAGACUGGGAUAACUUCGGGAAACCGGAGCUAAUACCGGAUAAUAUAUUGAACCGCAUGGUUCAAUAGUGAAAGACGGUUUUGCUGUCACUUAUAGAUGGAUCCGCGCCGCAUUAGCUAGUUGGUAAGGUAACGGCUUACCAAGGCAACGAUGCGUAGCCGACCUGAGAGGGUGAUCGGCCACACUGGAACUGAGACACGGUCCAGACUCCUACGGGAGGCAGCAGUAGGGAAUCUUCCGCAAUGGGCGAAAGCCUGACGGAGCAACGCCGCGUGAGUGAUGAAGGUCUUCGGAUCGUAAAACUCUGUUAUUAGGGAAGAACAAAUGUGUAAGUAACUAUGCACGUCUUGACGGUAGCUAAUCAGAAAGCCACGGCUAACUACGUG